rnacentral:rRNA from 1 species
GAUGAACGCUGGCGGCGUGCCUAAUACAUGCAAGUCGAGCGAACGGACGAGAAGCUUGCUUUUCUGAUGUUGGCGGCGGACGGGUGAGUAACACGUGGAUAACCCACCUAUAAGACUGGGAUAACUUCGGGAAACCGGAGCUAAUACCGGAUAAUAUUUUGAACCGCAUGGUUCAAAAGUGAAAGACGGUCUUGCUGUCACUUAUAGAUGGAUCCGCGCUGCAUUAGCUAGUUGGUAAGGUAACGGCUUACCAAGGCAACGAUGCAUAGCCGACCUGAGAGGGUGAUCGGCCACACUGGAACUGAGACACGGUCCAGACUCCUACGGGAGGCAGCAGUAGGGAAUCUUCCGCAAUGGGCGAAAGCCUGACGGAGCAACGCCGCGUGAGUGAUGAAGGUCUUCGGAUCGUAAAACUCUGUUAUUAGGGAAGAACAUAUGUGUAAGUAACUGUGCACAUCUUGACGGUACCCAAUCAGAAAGCCACGGCUAACUACGUG